rfam:TPA: Bos taurus chromosome 12, whole genome shotgun sequence.
UCCCUGGUGGCUCAGAUGGUAAUGAAUCUGCCUGUAAUGCAGGAGACCCAGGUUCGAUCUCUGGGUGGGGAA